rnacentral:rRNA from 1 species
AGAGUUUGAUCCUGGCUCAGAACGAACGCUGGCGGCGUGGAUAAGACAUGCAAGUCGAACGGGAUAACAUCUGUAGCAAUACAGGUGUUAUUUAGUGGCGAACGGGUGCGUAACACGUGGGGAAUCUGCCGAGAAGUGGGGGAUAGCUCGCCGAAAGGCGAAUUAAUACCGCAUAUGGUCAGUGAAGACAUCUUCACAACACCAAAGCCGGGGCAACCUGGCGCUUCUUGAUGACCCCGCGGCCUAUCAGCUAGUUGGUGAGGUAACGGCUCACCAAGGCUAUGACGGGUAGCUGGUCUGAGAGGACGACCAGUCACACUGGAACUGAGACACGGUCCAGACACCUACGGGUGGCAGCAGUCGAGAAUUUUUCACAAUGGGGGCAACCCUGAUGGAGCGACGCCGCGUGGAGGAUGAAGGCUUUCGGGUUGUAAACUCCUGUCAUUUGAGAACAAGGUGCAUCGAUUAACUGUCGAUGCAUUGAUAGUAUCAGAAGAGGAAGAGACGGCUAACUCUGUGCCAGCAGCCGCGGUAAUACAGAGGUCUCAAGCGUUGUUCGGAUUCAUUGGGCGUAAAGGGUGCGUAGGUGGCGGGGUAAGUCAGGUGUGAAAUUUCGGAGCUCAACUCCGAAACUGCAUUUGAUACUGCCUUGCUUGAGGACUGGAGAGGAGACUGGAAUUCACGGUGUAGCAGUGAAAUGCGUAGAUAUCGUGAGGAAGACCAGUGGCGAAGGCGGGUCUCUGGACAGAUCCUGACACUGAGGCACGAAGGCCAGGGGAGCAAACGGGAUUAGAUACCCCCGUAGUCC